rfam:Brassica rapa chromosome A10, whole genome shotgun sequence.
GUCGUUGUAGUAUAGUGGUAAGUAUUCUCGCCUGUCACGCGGAUGACCCGUGUUUGAUCCCGGCAACGGCU